rnacentral:rRNA from 1 species
GACAGCAGCCGCCGCGGUAAUACGGAGGGGGCUAGCGUUGUUCGGAAUUACUGGGCGUAAAGCGCACGUAGGCGGCUUGGUAAGUUAGAGGUGAAAGCCCGGAGCUCAACUCCGGAAUUGCCUUUAAGACUGCCGAGCUAGUAGGUGAGAGAGGUAAGUGGAAUUCCGAGUGUAGAGGUGAAAUUCGUAGAUAUUCGGAAGAACACCAGUGGCGAAGGCGGCUUACUGGCUCAUUCUAGACGCUGAGGUGCGAAAGCGUGGGGAGCAAACAGGAUUAGAUACCCCGGUAGUCCCUGUCUCUUAUAC